rnacentral:rRNA from 1 species
UGCAAGUCGAACGAAGUCUUCGGACUUAGUGGCGCACGGGUGCGUAACGCGUGGGAAUCUGCCCUUAGGUACGGAAUAACUCAGAGAAAUUUGAGCUAAUACCGUAUGAUGUCUUCGGACCAAAGAUUUAUCGCCUAAGGAUGAGCCCGCGUUGGAUUAGCUAGUUGGUGGGGUAAAGGCCUACCAAGGCGACGAUCCAUAGCUGGUCUGAGAGGAUGAUCAGCCACACUGGGACUGAGACACGGCCCAGACUCCUACGGGAGGCAGCAGUGGGGAAUAUUGGACAAUGGGGGAAACCCUGAUCCAGCAAUGCCGCGUGAGUGAUGAAGGCCUUAGGGUUGUAAAGCUCUUUUACCCGGGAUGAUAAUGACAGUACCGGGAGAAUAAGCUCCGGCUAACUCCGUGCCAGCAGCCGCGGUAAUACGGAGGGAGCUAGCGUUGUUCGGAAUUACUGGGCGUAAAGCGCGCGUAGGCGGUUUUGCAAGUUAGAGGUGAAAGCCCGGGGCUCAACCCCGGAACUGCCUUUAAAACUGCAUCACUUGAAUCCAGGAGAGGUGAGUGGAAUUCCGAGUGUAGAGGUGAAAUUCGUAGAUAUUCGGAAGAACACCAGUGGCGAAGGCGGCUCACUGGACUGGUAUUGACGCUGAGGUGCGAAAGUGUGGGGAGCAAACAGGAUUAGAUACCCUGGUAGUCCACACCGUAAACGAUGAUAACUAGCUGUCCGGGUGCAUGGCACUUUGGGUGGCGCAGCUAACGCAUUAAGUUAUCCGCCUGGGGGAGUACGGUCGCAAGAUUAAAACUCAAAGGAAUUGACGGGGG